GGGUAGAGUCCAGUGUGUGUGGGUAGAGUCCAGUGUGUGUGAGUGUGUGGGUAGAGUCCAGUGUGUGUGAGUAUGUGGGUAGAGUCCAGUGUGUGUGAGUGUGUGGGUAGAGUCCAGUGUGUGUGAGUGUGUGGGUAGAGUCCAGUGUGUGUGAGUGUGUGGGUAGAGUCCAGUGUGUGUGGGUAGAUGUGUGUGGGUAGAGUCCAGUGUGUGUGAGUGUGUGGGUAGAGUCCAGUGUUCCAGUGUGUGUGUGUGUGGGUAGAGUCCAGUGUGUGUGAGUGUGUGGGUAGAGUCCAGUGUGUGUGAGUAUGUGGGUAGAGUCCAAUGUGUGUGAGUGUGUGGGUAG
ensembl:lncRNA